GACGAACGCUGGCGGCGUGCUUAACACAUGCAAGUCGAACGGAAAGGCCCCUUUUGGGGUACUCGAGUGGCGAACGGGUGAGUAACACGUGAGUAACCUGCCCUUGACUUCGGGAUAACUUCAGGAAACUGGGGCUAAUACCGGCUAGGAAUCCUUGCUUCAUGGUGGGGGUUGGAAAGCUUCGGCGGGUUUGGAUGGACUCGCGGCUUAUCAGCUUGUUGGUGGGGGAGUGGCUUACCAAGGCUUUGACGGGUAGCCGGCCUGAGAGGGCGACCGGCCACAUUGGGACUUGGGUACGGCCCAGACUCCUACGGGGGGCAGCAGGGGGGAAUAUUGCAAAAUGGGGGGGAGCCUGAUGCAGCAACGCCGCGGGCGGGAUGACCGCCUUCGGGUUGGAAACCGCUUUCAGCAGGGGCGAAGCUUGUGGUGACGGUACCUGCAGAAGAAGCACCGGCUAACUACGUG
rnacentral:rRNA from 1 species